rnacentral:rRNA from 1 species
UGGGGAAUAUUGGACAAUGGGCGCAAGCCUGAUCCAGCCAUGCCGCGUGAGUGAUGAAGGCCCUAGGGUUGUAAAGCUCUUUCACCGGUGAAGAUAAUGACGUUAACGGGAGAAAAAGCCCCGCCUAACUUCUUGCCAGCAGCCGCGGUAAUACGAAGGGGGCUAGCGUUGUUCGGAUUUACUGGGCGUAAAGCGCACGUAGGCGGACUUUUAAGUCAGGGGUGAAAUCCCGGGGCUCAACCCCGGAACUGCCUUUGAUACUGGAAGUCUUGAGUAUGGUAGAGGUGAGUGGAAUUCCGAGUGUAGAGGUGAAAUUCGUAGAUAUUCGGAGGAACACCAGUGGCGAAGGCGGCUCACUGGACCAUUACUGACGCUGAGGUGCGAAAGCGUGGGGAGCAAACAGG